rnacentral:rRNA from 1 species
GUGGGGAAUAUUGCACAAUGGGGGAAACCCUGAUGCAGCGACGCCGCGUGAGUGAAGAAGUAUUUCGGUAUGUAAAGCUCUAUCAGCAGGGAAGAAAAUGACGGUACCUGACUAAGAAGCCCCGGCUAACUACGUGCCAGCAGCCGCGGUAAUACGUAGGGGGCAAGCGUUAUCCGGAAUUACUGGGUGUAAAGGGAGCGUAGGUGGCAUGGCAAGUCAGAAGUGAAAGCCCUUGGCUUAACUGGGGGACUGCUUUUGAAACUGUCAGGCUAGAGUGCAGGAGGGGUAAGUGGAAUUCCUAGUGUAGCGGUGAAAUGCGUAGAUAUUAGGAGGAACACCGGUGGCGAAGGCGGCUUACUGGACUGUAACAGACACUGAGGCUCGAAAGCGUGGGGAGCAAACAGGAUUAGAUACCCGGGUAGUCC